UAGCUCAGUUGGUAGAGCAGUUGACUUUUAAUCAAUUGGUCGCAGGUUCGAAUCCUGCACGACCACCAAUCGUUCUGGUGGAACGCGAUAGUAAAACGUGAAGGAUAACGUUGCGUCAGCAAGGCCCGUAGGGCGAGGCGAAGCCGAGUCAUCCUGCACGACCCACCG
rnacentral:sRNA from 1 species